CUGCUCGGAUGAGCUGUGGAUAGGGGUGAAAGGCCAAUCAAACUACGUGAUAGCUGGUUCUCCUCGAAAUGCAUUUAGGUGCAGCGUCGCGUGUUUCUUGUCGGGGGUAGAGCACUGAUUGGACUAGGGGGCCCAAAAGCUUACCGAAUUCAGUCAAACUCCGAAUACCGAUAAGUGAGAGCGCGGCAGUGAGACUGCGGGGGAUAAGCUCCGUAGUCGAGAGGGAAACAACCCAGACCGCCAGCUAAGGUCCCUAAGUUUGUACUAAGUGGGAAAGGAUGUCAGACAACCAGGAGGUUGGCUUAGAAGCAGCCACCCUUGAAAGAGUGCGUAAUAGCUCACUGGUCGAGUGAUCCUGCGCCGAUAAUGUAACGGGGCUAAGUACAACACCGAAGCUGUGGAUUUCAGCCGCAUACACGAAAGUGGGCUGGAGUGGUAGAGGAGCGUCGAUACGCGAUUGAAGCCGCGGGGUAACCCAGUGGUGGACGCGUGUCGAGUGAGAAUGUAGGCAUGAGUAGCGAAAUGGGGGGGAGGAACCCCCACGCCGAAUGAUCAAGGGUUCCUGGGGAAGGUUCAUCCGCCCAGGGUAAGUCGGGACCUAAGGCGAGGGCGAGAGCCGUAGUCGAUGGAUAACCGGUUGAUAUUCCGGUACUACCAGUGGGCCGCUAAAUGGUGACACUUCUUUGCUAACACGACCUACGGGUCGUGGACCCAGGGAGCAGUAGCCAACCUAUGGAGUGACGGAGGAGGCUAGAAGAGCCCGGGCGAUGGUUGACCCGGGGCAAGCGUGUAGGGCGAGGGCCAGGUAAAUCCGGACCUCAUGAAGCCUGAGACGUGACGCCGACGCAUAGCGGAAGUCUUUGAUGCCAUGCUCCCAAGAAAAGCUUCUCGGGAGGACCACGGGUACCCGUACCCCAAACCAACUCAGGUGAUCAGGUAGAGAAUACCAAGGCGAUUGAGUGAACUCCGGUUAAGGAACUCGGCAAAUUGGCCCCGUAACUUCGGAAUAAGGGGCGCCUCGGCUGGUGACGGACUUCGCGUCCCGAGCUGGAAGAGGCCGCAGUGACCAGGUGGAAGCGACUGUUUACCAAAAACACAGGAGCGUGCGAACACGAAAGUGGAAGUAUACGCUCUGACUCCUGCCCGGUGCUGGAACGUUAAAUGGAGGGGUUAGCUUCGGCGAAGCUCUGAAAUCAAGCGCCAGUAAACGGCGGCGGUAACUAUAACCGUCCUAAGGUAGCGAAAUUCCUUGUCGGGUAAGUUCCGACCUGCACGAAUGGAGUAACGACUCCCACACUGUCUCAACCGGAGACUCAGCGAAAUUGCAUUACGAGUAAAGAUGCUCGUUACGCGCAGCAGGACGGAAAGACCCCGGGACCUUUACUGCAGUUUGGUAUUGGGGCUUGGUAUGUCAUGUGCAGGAUAGGUGGGAGACUAUGAAGCGGCGACGCCAGUUGUCGUGGAGUCAUCCUUGGAAUACCACCCUUGACAUACUGGGUCCCUAACUCCGAUCCGUGAUCCGGAUCAAGGACAGUGCCUGACGGGCAGUUUAACUGGGGCGGUUGCCUCCCAAAAAGUAACGGAGGCGCCCAAAGGUUCCCUCAGACCGGUCGGCAAUCGGUCGUCGAGUGUAAAGGCACAAGGGAGCUUGACUGCGAGAGAGACAUCUCAAGCAGGGUCGAAAGACGGGCUUAGUGAUCCGACGGUGGCAUGUGGAAGCGCCGUCGCUCAACGGAUAAAAGGUACCCCGGGGAUAACAGGCUUAUCCUCCCCAAGAGUCCAUAUCGACGGGAGGGUUUGGCACCUCGAUGUCGGCUCAUCGCAUCCUGGGGCUGGAGCAGGUCCCAAGGGUCGGGCUGUUCGCCCGUUAAAGCGGUACGCGAGCUGGGUUCAGAACGUCGUGAGACAGUUCGGUCCCUAUCCGCUGCGCGCGUUGGAGAAUUGAGAGGACCUGCCCCUAGUACGAGAGGACCGGGGUGGACGGAUCUCUGGUGUGCCGGUUGUCCUGCCAAGGGCAUGGCCGGUUAGCUACAUCCGGAAGAGAUAAGCGCUGAAGGCAUCUAAGCACGAAGCUUGCCUCGAGAUGAGUUCUCCCACUGCUACAAGCAGGUAAGGCCCCCAGAAGACGACUGGGUUGAUAGGCCGGAAGUAGAAGCGUCGCAAGACGUGAAGCUGACCGGUACUAAUAGGCCGAGGGCUUGCCGC
rnacentral:rRNA from 1 species